UACGAAGGAUGCGAGCGUUAUCCGGAUUUAUUGGGUUUAAAGGGUGCGUAGGCGGCCUUAUAAGUCAGUGGUGAAAUCCUAUCGCUUAACGAUAGACGUGCCAUUGAUACUGUAGGGCUUGAGUACAGAUGCCGUUGGCGGAAUGUGUCAUGUAGCGGUGAAAUGCAUAGAUAUGACACAGAACACCGAUUGCGAAGGCAGCUUACUAAACUGUAACUGACGCUGAGGCACGAAAGCGUGGGGAUCAAACAGG
rnacentral:rRNA from 1 species